AGAAAAGAACAAGUAUUCUUACUUCUUUUCCAAGCCGACACCCAGUUCUCUAUUUUUCUUCUUCUUCCUUUCAUCUUCAAGCUCAAGAAACCAAGGCUUUUCCUUUCUCCUCUCCAAACCAUGCAACCCCAAGGCAAGAAAGGAACGGUUUCCUUCCUUCCCAAGUCAUGCCAUACACCUUCUUUCAUACCCAUUUUCGGGUUUGCUCAAGCUUGGAAUCCAAAGCUUAUUUUCAUCCUCUAAAAGAUGAAAUCUUGAAGGUAAGAGGCUCUUGAUUCAUUCCCUAGUAUAAUUUACAUGUGGGUUUCAAAUUUCAUUAUUUAUCUCACACAGAUGUUUCAGUUUUGGGUUUCUAGCCAAGGGUUAGUGUUCUCUCUAGUCCCCUAAGCCAAACUCACCUCUCAUUUUCAUCAUUUUUGUGCUUUGGGAAGGAUUCACCAAAGGACCUAUUAACAUUGGAAGUACCAAGGCGUAUCGAGAGAGGCUGGGAUGCCAAGUACUACCAAGGAGGGAGGAGCCGAUACUUAGUAGUCCCUUAUUGGUUCGGUUCUUUUCGUGAUAGCUUACGGCUUAUAUGUUUUGAAAAUGGGUCCCAAGUGGGGACAUUUAUUUGAAUUAACCUUCGGAUACGAUGUAAAUUUUAUGAUUGGGUGAUGGUAACCCCUCAUACUUUAACUUAACUUCCUUUUUGUAUGAACUGUAGGGACUGAGUCCCUUUUUACUUAAAACUAGUUAUGUUAUAUAAAUGAAUGAUGGACUCUGAGAGUCUUUUAUGA